GAUGAAGAACGUAGCGAAAUGCGAUAAGUAAUGUGAAUUGCAGAACUCAGUGAAUCAUCGAAUCUUUGAACGCACCUUGCGCUCCUUGGUAUUCCGAGGAGCAUGCCUGUUUGAGUGUCAUUAAAUUCUCAACCAUUAUCAACUUUUGCUGAUAAUGGCUUGGAUGUGGGGGUCUAUUUUGCUGGCUUCUCAGAUAGUCAGCUCCCCUUAAAUGCAUUAGCCGGUGCCCCGCGUGGACUGUCUAUUGGUGUGAUAAUUAUCUACGCUAUAGACAUCUGCAAUCAUAUGGGUUUGCGCUGCUUCUAACAGUCUGUUGAUUCAGACAAUACAUGACAAUUUGACCUCAAAUCAGGUAGGACUACCCGCUGAACUUAAGCAUAUCAAUAAGCGGAGA
rnacentral:misc_RNA from 1 species